GGACAUGCUCAACAUUCAGCGUUAGGUUGGUGGGUGGGUUGGUUUGUUCUUGCCAAGGUUUUUGAAAUGCAGUCACAAGGUACAAUGCCAACAAAUCAAUGGACAAUUGUGCCUUUUGCAAUGCUGAUGGUGACUUCUUGAUAGUUCCCCAACAAGGAAGACUCCUUAUCACUACUGAAUGUGGAAGAUUGAAAGUUUCUCCGGGUGAAAUUGCUAUAAUACCUCACGGUUUUCGUUUUUCUGUGAAUCUGCCUGAUGGUCCAUCCCGCGGUUAUGUUGCUGAAAUUUUUGGUACUCAUUUUCAACUUCCUGAUCUGGGACCAAUAGGUGCUAAUGGUCUUGCUUCCCCAAGGGAUUUCCUUGUUCCUACUGCUUGGUUUGAAGAUAAAUCUUAUCCUGGGUACACCAUAGUGCAGAAGUUUGGUGGUGAACUCUUUGAUGCAGUACAAGAUUUCUCUCCCUUCAAUGUUGUUGCUUGGCAUGGUAAUUAUGUUCCAUAGAAGUAUGAUUUAAGCAAAUUCUGCCCUUAUAAUACAGUUCUGUUUGAUCAUAGUGACCCAUCUAUCAAUACUGUGUUGACCGCACCAACUGAUAAACCUGGAGUGGCAUUGCUUGAUUUUGUCAUUUUCCCACCCAGAUGGCUGGUUGCUGAGCAUACUUUCCUUCCUCCAUAUUAUCAUCGCAAUUGCAUGAGUGAAUUUAUGGGCCUUAUUCAUGGUGGCUAUGAGGUAUAUCAUAUCAAAUUUUGUCUUUUAAUCGCUGUUUGUGGGAAGCACGAAGGAUUUGCAUCUUAAUGGUAGUUUUUUUGGUAAUAUGGGAAAAGAGCAGGAUUAGUUUUGGGUCAGUUGAGACAAAAUUUUGUCUUCUCUAGUGUUGUGACUAACACAUUUGUUUUUGAGGCCAACGCUGAUGGAUUUCUUCCCGGUGGUGCAAGUCUCCAUAAUUGUAUGACUCCCCAUGGUCCUGAUACAAAGUCAUAUGAGGUACUAUAUGCAAGAGUCAAAGGGAAAUGAAGGGGCAAAGGAACUUUGGCAUGAGCCUUGGUAAGCAAGGUUAAGGUAGGACAUGGUUGAGAUUAGAAAGGUUUUGAAGGUAAAAUAUGAGAAGGAAAUAGCUGACAUAAUACAAGAUCUAUUGCUCCUUAUUUCGGCAUCUGCUCCCAAUAUGCAGCAACGAAACUUGUUGGGAACAAUUGCUUUCUGAGUUUCUUUAGUGAGUGACAUGAACUUUAAAACUCGUUUAGCUUAGCUAAUAGUCGUAGUUGUAGCAUAUAGUCAUAUAAUGUAUUGGGACAAUGUAAAAACGAUGUCUCUAUGAAACAAAGCAAUUUUGCC
rnacentral:lncRNA from 1 species